rnacentral:rRNA from 1 species
CCUACGGGUGACAGCAGUGAGGAAUAUUGGUCAAUGGACGAGAGUCUGAACCAGCAAAGUAGCGUGAAGGAUGACUGCCCUAUGGGUUGUAAACUUCUUUUAUAUGGGAAUAAAAUGUUCCACGUGUGGGAUUUUGUAUGUACCAUAUGAAUAAGGAUCGGCUAAAUCCGUGCCAGCGGCCGCGGUAAUACGGAGGAUCCGAGCGUUAUCCGGAUUUCUUGGGUUUAAAGGGAGCGUAGGGGGAUUGUUAAGUCAGUUGUGAAAGUUUGCGGCUCAACCGUAAAAUUUCUGUUGAAACUGGCAGUCUUGUGUACAGUAGAGGUGUGCGGAAUUCGUGGUGUAGCGGUGAAAUGCUUAGAUAUCACGAAGAACUCCGAGUGCGAAGGCAGUUCACUGGACUGCAACUGACACUGAGGCUCGAAAGUGUGGGUAUCAAACAGGAUUAGAUACCCCUGUAGUC